GAUGAACGCUGGCGGCGUGCCUAAUACAUGCAAGUCGAGCGGACGGACGAUAAGCUUGCUCCCCUGAUGUUAGCGGCGGACGGGCGAGUAACACGUGGAUAACCUACUUAUAUUACUGGGAUAACUUCGGGAAACCGGUGCUGAUACUGGAGCAUAUUUUCAACCGCAGGGUUCAAAAGUGAUAGACGGUCUUGCUGUCACUUAUAGCUGGAUCCGCGUUGCAUUAGCUAGUUGGUAAGGUAACGGCAUACCAAGGCGACGAUGCAUAGCCGACCUGAGAGGAUGAUCAGCCACACUGGAACUGAGACACGGUCCAGACUCCUACGGGAGGCAGCAGUAGGGAAUAUUCGACAAUGGGCGAAAGCCUGACCGAGCAAUGCCGCGUGAGUGAUGAAGGUCUUCGGGUCGUAAAACUCUGUUAUUGGGAAAGAACAUAUGUAUGAUAAACCGUGGAUAUCCUGACGGUACCUAAUCAGAAAGCAACGGCUAACUACGUG
rnacentral:rRNA from 1 species